rnacentral:rRNA from 1 species
ACAUGCAAGUCGAGCGAACAGACGAGGAGCUUGCUCCUCUGACGUUAGCGGCGGACGGGUGAGUAACACGUGGAUAACCUACCUAUAAGACUGGGAUAACUUCGGGAAACCGGAGCUAAUACCGGAUAAUAUAUUGAACCGCAUGGUUCAAUAGUGAAAGACGGUUUUGCUGUCACUUAUAGAUGGAUCCGCGCCGCAUUAGCUAGUUGGUAAGGUAACGGCUUACCAAGGCAACGAUGCGUAGCCGACCUGAGAGGGUGAUCGGCCACACUGGAACUGAGACACGGUCCAGACUCCUACGGGAGGCAGCAGUAGGGAAUCUUCCGCAAUGGGCGAAAGCCUGACGGAGCAACGCCGCGUGAGUGAUGAAGGUCUUCGGAUCGUAAAACUCUGUUAUUAGGGAAGAACAAAUGUGUAAGUAACUAUGCACGUCUUGACGGUACCUAAUCAGAAAGCCACGGCUAACUACGUGCCAGCAGCCGCGGUAAUACGUAGGUGGCAAGCGUUAUCCGGAAUUAUUGGGCGUAAAGCGCGCGUAGGCGGUUUUUUAAGUCUGAUGUGAAAGCCCACGGCUCAACCGUGGAGGGUCAUUGGAAACUGGAAAACUUGAGUGCAGAAGAGGAAAGUGGAAUUCCAUGUGUAGCGGUGAAAUGCGCAGAGAUAUGGAGGAACACCAGUGGCGAAGGCGACUUUCUGGUCUGUAACUGACGCUGAUGUGCGAAAGCGUGGGGAUCAAACAGGAUUAGAUACCCUG